rnacentral:misc_RNA from 1 species
AUAAUGAGCCUGUGUGUUCCCACUGAUGGCCACUCCCGAGAAUUUUGAUGUGUCUAUCGCCCACGAAGGCCUCACAUAUUCCACCGCCUUUCCUGGCCAGCUUGCAUUCAUGUACAAGAAAUUCAGAAGCACAUCCUCGCAAUUAAAGACUUCGUCCACAAUCUCCCUUCCCUGACUUGCUUCCUCACUCCAAUACCUCUCAAA